rnacentral:rRNA from 1 species
AGCAGCCGCGGUAAUUCCAGCUCCAAUAGCGUAUAUUAAAGUUGUUGCAGUUAAAAAGCUCGUAGUUGAAUUUCGGGAUCAAUACGUCGGUCGUGCUUCGGUACGUACUGGUGUCAUUGAUUUCUCCCUUCUGACGAACCAUGAUGUCAUUAACUUGGUGUCAUGGGAAAUCAGGACUGUUACUUUGAAAAAAUUAGAGUGUUUAAAGCAGGCUCACGCUUGAAUACAUUAGCAUGGAAUAAUGAAAUAGGACGUCCGAUCCUAUUUUGUUGGUUUCUAGGAUCAACGUAAUGAUUAAUAGGGAUAGUUGGGGGCAUUAGUAUUCAAUUGUCAGAGGUGAAAUUCUUGGAUUUAUUGAAGACUAACUACUGCGAAAGCAUUUGCCAAGGAUGUUUUCAUUAAUCAAGAACGAAAGUUAGGGGAUCGAAGACGAUCAGAUACCGUCGUAGUCUUAACCAUAAACUAUACCGACUAGGGAUCGGAUGAUGUUAAUUAUUAAUGA